AGCUCAGCAUUGGGCGUAAAGCGUGCGCAGGCGGUUUUGUAAGACAGAGGUGAAAUCCCCGGGCUCAACCUGGGAACUGCCCUUGUGACUGCAAGGCUGGAGUGCGGCAGAGGGGGAUGGAAUUCCGCGUGUAGCAGUGAAAUGCGUAGAUAUGCGGAGGAACACCGAUGGCGAAGGCAAUCCCCUGGGCCUGCACUGACGCUCAUGCACGAAAGCGUGGGGAGCAAACA
rnacentral:rRNA from 1 species